GAUGAACGCUAGCUACAGGCUUAACACAUGCAAGUCGAGGGGAAACGGCAUUUAGUGCUUGCACUGAAUGGACGUCGACCGGCGCACGGGUGAGUAACGCGUAUCCAACCUUCCCAUAACUAAGGGAUAACCUGCCGAAAGGCAGACUAAUACCUUAUGUAAUUCUUGGAUGACAUCAGAAGAGAAUGAAAGAUUUAUCGGUUAUGGAUGGGGAUGCGUCUGAUUAGCUUGUUGGCGGGGUAACGGCCCACCAAGGCAACGAUCAGUAGGGGUUCUGAGAGGAAGGUCCCCCACAUUGGAACUGAGACACGGUCCAAACUCCUACGGGAGGCAGCAGUGAGGAAUAUUGGUCAAUGGGCGAGAGCCUGAACCAGCCAAGUAGCGUGCAGGAUGACGGCCCUAUGGGUUGUAAACUGCUUUUGUAUGGGGAUAAAGUCAAUCACGUGUGAUUGUUUGCAGGUACCAUACGAAUAAGGACCGGCUAAUUCCGUGCCAGCAGCCGCGGUAAUACGGAAGGUUCGGGCGUUAUCCGGAUUUAUUGGGUUUAAAGGGAGCGUAGGCCGGAGAUUAAGUGUGUUGUGAAAUGUAGACGCUCAACGUCUGACUUGCAGCGCAUACUGGUUUCCUUGAGUACGCACAACGUUGGCGGAAUUCGUCGUGUAGCGGUGAAAUGCUUAGAUAUGACGAAGAACUCCGAUUGCGAAGGCAGCUGACGGGAGCGCAACUGACGCUUAAGCUCGAAGGUGCGGGUAUCAAACAGG
rnacentral:rRNA from 1 species